rnacentral:rRNA from 1 species
GAUGAACGCUGGCGGCGUGCCUAAUACAUGCAAGUCGAACGAAACUUCUUUAUCACCGAGUGCUUGCACUCACCGAUAAAGAGUUGAGUGGCGAACGGGUGAGUAACACGUGGGUAACCUGCCCAAAAGAGGGGGAUAACACUUGGAAACAGGUGCUAAUACCGCAUAACCAUAGUUACCGCAUGGUAACUAUGUAAAAGGUGGCUAUACUACCGCUUUUGGAUGGGCCCGCGGCGCAUUAGCUAGUUGGUAGGGUAAAGGCUUACCAAGGCAAUGAUGCGUAACCGAAUUGUUGGGUUGUUCGCCCCCUUUGGACUGAGACACGGCCCAAACUCCUACGGGAGGCAGCAGUAGGGAAUCUUCCACAAUGGGCGAAAGCCUGAUGGAGCAACGCCGCGUGGGUGAAGAAGGUCUUCGGAUCGUAAAACCCUGUUGUUAGAGAAGAAAGUGCGUGAGAGUAACUGUUCACGUUUCGACGGUAUCUAACCAGAAAGCCACGGCUAACUACGUG